rnacentral:rRNA from 1 species
AGUCACUGACAUUAGAUACCCGCGUAGUCCCAGCCGUAAACAAUGUGCGUUAGGUGUGUCGGUAACCACGCGUUACUGAUGCGCCGAAGAGAAAUCGUGAAACGCACCACCUGGGAAGUACGGUCGCAAGGCUGAAACUUAAAGGAAUUGGCGGGGAGCACCACAACAGGUGGAGCCUGCGGUUUAAUUUGAUUCAACGCCGGACAUCUCACCGGAUAAGACAGCUGAAUGAUUGUCAAUCUGAAGGUUUUACAUGACUAGCUG